AUUGAACGCUGGCGGCAUGCCUUACACAUGCAAGUCGAACGGUAACGCGGGGCAACCUGGCGACGAGUGGCGAACGGGUGAGUAAUGCAUCGGAACGUGCCCAGUAGUGGGGGAUAGCCCGGCGAAAGCCGGAUUAAUACCGCAUACGACCUACGGGUGAAAGCGGGGGACCGUAAGGCCUCGCGCUAUUGGAGCGGCCGAUGUCAGAUUAGGUUGUUGGUGGGGUAAAAGCCUACCAAGCCGACGAUCUGUAGCUGGUCUGAGAGGCCGACCAGCCACACUGGGACUGGGACACGGCCCAGGCUCCUACGGGAGGCAGCAGUGGGUAAUUUUGGACAAUGGGGGCAACCCUGUUCCAGCCAUGCCGCGUGCGGGAAGAAGGCCUUCGGGUUGUAAACCGCUUUUGUCAGGGAAGAAACGCUCUGGGCUAAUACCCCGGGGUAAUGACGGUACCUGAAGAAUAAGCACCGGCUAACUACGUGCCAGCCGCCGCGGUAAAAC
rnacentral:rRNA from 1 species